rnacentral:lncRNA from 1 species
UUUAAAUGACAUAUAUCCACAUAAAUUUUAUAUAUUCAUCUCAACUUAAAUAUAUCCUUUUAACACUAUGAAUUCUUUUCUUUUCUUUUCUUUUGUCUUAGAAUUAGAAUAUGUAAGGAAAAUUCGUACUGGAAUUUGUUCUUGUUACUGCCAAUCACAGAAUUUCGGAUGUACUGUGGGUACAAAUGCGGAAAGGAACUAUGCCCAAUUUGUUCUUGUUACUGCCAAUCACUGAAUUCGAAGAUUAAAAUUGAAAUUUCUCAAAAUUUUCGAUGCUUUAUCGUUUUCAUUUUGGAUAUUUUCAACCAUUCAGUCUUGAAUUUGACAACAUUUAAGUAGACAUUUUUCCUGGUUUUUUAGUGCUGUUUGGUGCUGACAGAUUUUUGUUCGAUCUCCUUGGACACUGCUUCCUGUCGCUGUCAAUGUAUUUACCGGGUGAUUUCUUCCCCUAUUAAUUUGUUGAUUUUUAUUUGUCUUUUUGAGUUUGCCUCCACUCAUCUUAGUAAGUCUUGAUUUGGAAGGUGUUUGAUUCUGCUGUCAAUCUUUCACUGUAUCCAUCGAUCUUACUUUCUACGAAUCCGGAUUUUCUAUUUUGUAAUUCAAAAAAAAUUUUUUAAAAAAAAAUACUAUUUAUAUAUACGUUCUAUUCUAAUCUUGUCCUUACUAAAAUUAUUCAUUUAAAUGACAUAUAUCCACAUAAAUUUUAUAUAUUCAUCUCAAUUUAAAUAUAUCCUUUUAACACUAUGAAUUCUUU